UUCUUCUCGUGAGCACCGCUCUGUCCAGCAGUGACAGUGUACGGAUUCGCAUGAGAAGUAGAGGAAACUCACAGUUAAACCGGCAGCUACCUUAGUGGUACUUGCCCAUGUCUGAUGUGAAACAGAU
ensembl:snoRNA SNORA75 Small nucleolar RNA SNORA75